GACGAACGCUGGCGGCGUGCUUAACACAUGCAAGUCGAACGGGUGGCGAACGGGUGAGUAACAGGUGGGAGAUCUGACUUGAACAUCGGGGUAAGCUUGGGAAACUGGGUCUAAUACCGGAUAGUGCAAGAUGAGCGCGGGGCCUAUCAGCUGGUGGGUGGGGGAAUGGCUAGGAGGGCGCGACGGGGAGCCGGCCUGAGAGGGUGGACGGCCACAUUGGGACUGCUAUACGGCCCAGCGGCCUACUGGAGUCAACAGUGGGGAAUAUUGCAAAACGGUCGUGAGCCUGAUGCAGCGACGCCGCGUGGGUGAUGAAGGCCUUCGGGUUGUAAACGCCUUUCGACAGGGCCGCGGUACCUGUAUAAGAAGCACCGGCUAACUACGUGCCAGCAGCCGCGGUAAUAC
rnacentral:rRNA from 1 species